rnacentral:rRNA from 1 species
UACGUAGGGCGCAAGCGUUGUCCGGAAUUAUUGGGCGUAAAGAGCUCGUAGGCGGUUUGUCGCGUCUGUCGUGAAAGCUUGGGGCUUAACCCCAAGUCUGCGGUGGAUACGGGCAGACUAGAGGCAGGUAGGGGAGAACGGAAUUCCCGGUGUAGCGGUGAAAUGCGCAGAUAUCAGGAGGAACACCGGUGGCGAAGGGGGUCUCUGGGCAACAACUGACGCUGAGGAGCGAAAGCGUGGGGAGCGAACAGG